rnacentral:rRNA from 1 species
CACGGAGGCCCCGAGCGUUGUUCGGAUUUACUGGGCGUAAAGCGUGCGUAGGCGGCUGGGUAAGUCAGAUGUGAAAGCCCGAGGCUCAACCUCGGAACUGCAUCCGAUACUGCCUGGCUAGAGGACUGGAGAGGAGACUGGAAUUCACGGUGUAGCAGUGAAAUGCGUGGAUAUCGUGAGGAAGACCAAAGGCGAAGGCAGGUCUCUGGACAGUUCCUGACGCUGAUGCACGAAGGCCAGGGGAGCAAAAAGG